rnacentral:rRNA from 1 species
UAAUAAAAUUAAUUAUUAAUAAAUUUCUGAGAGAAGGAAUUUUUAGUUUAUGUAAUUUUUGAUAAAAUAUUAAUAAUUAUAGGGGAUUUUUACAGUGAUGGAGAUAUUAAUAUAUAACAAAGAAUACUUUAUUUGUUGUACCUUUUGUAUCAGGGUUUAUAAAAACACGUUUUUAAUAAAAAUUUUCUCGAAUUUUAGAGGGCUAAGAAUUAAUAUAUUUUAAUGUGAAAAAAUUAUUUAUAAUUAGUUUUUUGUAAUUAGACGUUAGUCGUUCUUUAUAAUAUCUAGUUUCCUAAGAAAUUAAUUCAAUUAACUGAAGUAAAUGAUUUUUUUUUUAUUUUUAAUGGAAAUUUUUAUGUUUAGAAUAUUUAGAGGGAAAAGCUUUUAAAUAAACUUUUAUAACUGAUUAAUUUUUAAGAAUAUAUAGGAUUAGAAGUUUCCAUUUUUAGUGUGUUUUAACUAGAUUUUAAAAGUAAUUAAUUUUUUUUUGUUUAAGUAUUUUAUUAGGAUAAAGGCUUUAAUGGGUAAGUUUUGUAAUAAUGAUAAAAUUAGUAGAAUUAAAUGUACUAUAACAGUACUUAAUAAUAUAUUAUUUUAAGGAAUUAGGCAAAUUUCUUUUCGCCUGUUUAAUAAAAACAUGGCUUUUUGAUAAUAAUUUAAGGUCAGGCCUGCCCAAUGAUAGUUUAAAUGGCUGCGGUAUAUUGACCGUGCAAAGGUAGCAUAAUCAUUAGUUUUUUUAUUGGAAGCUGGAAUGAAGGGUUUGACGAGAAAGAAGCUGUCUUAAUUUAAUUAUUUGAAUUUUAUUUUUGAGUGAGAAAGCUUAAAUAGUUUUGAGGGACGAGAAGACCCUAUAGAAUUUAAUAGUUUAUGUAUUUUAGAAUUUUGGUUUAUGUUAAUUGAUGUAAAUUUAAAUUAAUUUGUUGGGGUGAUAGGAAAAUUUGAAUAACUUUUUUUUUGUAUUUUUCAUUAAUAAAUGAUUAUUUGAUCCAUUAGUAGUGAUUAUAAGAAAAAAUUACCUUAGGGAUAACAGCGUUAUUAAUCUGGAGAGUUCAAAUCGAUAGAUUAGAUUGCGACCUCGAUGUUGGAUUAAAAUUGGCUUUUGGUGAAGGGACUAAUAAGCUAAGUCUGUUCGACUUUUAAAAUUUUACAUGAUCUGAGUUUAAACCGGCGUGAGCCAGGUUGGUUUCUAUCUUCAUAUAAAUAAAAUUUUUUAGUACGAAAGGACCAGAAAUUUUCUAUACUAGAUAUAUGUUGAUUAAAAUU